GACGAACGCUGGCGGCGUGCUUAACACAUGCAAGUCGAGCGAGGCCCCCCCUUCGGGCGGGUGUCCUAGCGGUGAACGGGUGAGUAACACGUUUGCAACCUGCCUACAGCUCUGGGAUAACUCGGGGAAACCGGGGCUAAUACCGGAUACGACCUCCACGGGCAUCGGCGGAGGUGGAAAGGUGUUCGGCUGGGGAUGGGAUCGCGGCCUAUCAACUCGUUGGUGGGGUAGUGGCCUACCAAGGCGACGACCGGUAGCCGGGCUGAGAGGGGGGCCGGCCACACCGGGACUGGACUGCGGCACAGACCAGUACGGGAGGCGACAGUGGGGAGUAUUACGUAAGGGGCGGGAGCCAGACGUAGCGACGCCACGUGGGGGAAGAAGGCAAUCGGGUAGUAAACCAAUUUCAGCAGAGACGAAGCGAAAGUGACGGUACCUGCAGAAGAAGCACCGGCCAACUACGUG
rnacentral:rRNA from 1 species